rnacentral:rRNA from 1 species
ACGGGAGGCAGCAGUAGGGAAUCUUCGGCAAUGGACGAAAGUCUGACCGAGCAACGCCGCGUGAGUGAAGAAGGUUUUCGGAUCGUAAAACUCUGUUGUUAGAGAAGAACAAGGACGUUAGUAACUGAACGUCCCCUGACGGUAUCUAACCAGAAAGCCACGGCUAACUACGUGCCAGCAGCCGCGGUAAUA